rnacentral:sRNA from 1 species
UGAUAUUACGACACAGGUUUAAGCCAUC